CCCAGAGUCUCUGGUGUCACAGCUGGCGCUGCAGUACAGCGCCCUUAACCACUGCGCCACCCGGGAGGCCCGAAAACGUUGCAGUCAAACAAAUCAAGCAUUCAUUGAGGAACUACGAUUCUUGGGAGUGCAUUCUGAUGAAGAUCAUCAAAGUUUUUUUGAAAGCUGACACAGCGGUUGCAUUAAGGAGAGGUAUACCAGAUGUUUGUGCCUGACGUUGUCCGCUCCUCGGUCCUGGAGGGGACCCACUCCUCCAGGCUUGCCUGCCACCCGGGCUCCCGUUGGACCCUGGCCUUUAUUCUGCAACGAUUUUGGUGGCCUACCAUGGUCCCAGACGUCUUCGUGUUUGUCGCCGCCUGCACGGUCUAUGAGCAGAACAAGACUUCUCGGCAAGCCCCGGCUGGUCUUUUUCAACCACUGCCUGUUCCUCACUGUCCCUGGUCUCACAUAUCCCUCGACUUUGUCACGGGUCUUCCCCAUCUGAUGGCAACACCACCAUCCUGACAGUAGUGGACCGCUUUUCCAAAGCCACCCACUUCAUUCCUCUCCCCAAGCUACCCUCUGCCAAAGAGACAGCCCAACUCAUGGUGCAGCAUGUCUUGUCUAUCGGAAAAAUAAUAUGUCCUUUCCAUUUUUUAUAUUGAGAUUUCAUUUUUAAAUGUAAAAAGAUGACACUAAUUAUUUUAGGAUCGUAUAGGCUUACUCCAGUAGAGGUUUUUAAUUCUAUAAUCCUUUAUCCUAG
ensembl:lncRNA